GAGGUGAUAUGAACCGUUAUAACCGGCGAUUUCCGAAUGGGGAAACCCAGUGUGUUUCGACACACUAUCAUUAACUGAAUCCAUAGGUUAAUGAGGCGAACCGGGGGAACUGAAACAUCUAAGUACCCCGAGGAAAAGAAAUCAACCGAGAUUCCCCCAGUAGCGGCGAGCGAACGGGGAGGAGCCCAGAGCCUGAAUCAGUGUGUGUGUUAGUGGAAGCGUCUGGAAAGGCGUGCGAUACAGGGUGACAGCCCCGUACACAAAAAUGCACAUAUUGUGAGCUCGA
rnacentral:rRNA from 1 species